UGUUCUGUGGCUUGGUUGGUUAAAGCGCCGGUCUAGCGAAUACGGAGUCGUGGGUUCGAAUCCCACCAGAACGC
rnacentral:tRNA from 1 species